rnacentral:rRNA from 1 species
AGAGUUUGAUCAUGGCUCAGGAUGAACGCUAGCGGCAGGCUUAAUACAUGCAAGUCGUGGGGCAGCAUGGUGUAGCAAUACACUGAUGGCGACCGGCAAACGGGUGCGGAACACGUACGCAACCUUCCUUUAACUGGAGAAUAGCCCGGCGAAAGCCGGAUUAAUACUCCGUAACAUUAUGAAGUGGCAUCACUUUAUAAUUAUAGCUCCGGCGGUUAAAGAUGGGCGUGCGUCUGAUUAGGUAGUUGGCGGGGUAACGGCCCACCAAGCCUACGAUCAGUAACUGGUGUGAGAGCACGACCAGUCACACGGGCACUGAGACACGGGCCCGACUCCUACGGGAGGCAGCAGUAAGGAAUAUUGGUCAAUGGACGCAAGUCUGAACCAGCCAUGCCGCGUGAAGGAUGAAGGUCCUCUGGAUUGUAAACUUCUUUUAUUUGGGAAGAAACCCAAGAUUUCUAUUUUGGUUGACGGUACCAGAUGAAUAAGCACCGGCUAACUCCGUGCCAGCAGCCGCGGUAAUACGGAGGGUGCAAGCGUUAUCCGGAUUCACUGGGUUUAAAGGGUGCGUAGGCGGGCAGGUAAGUCCGUGGUGAAAUCUCCAAGCUUAACUUGGAAACUGCCGUGGAUACUAUUUGUCUUGAAUAUAGUGGAGGUGAGCGGAAUAUGUCAUGUAGCGGUGAAAUGCUUAGAUAUGACAUAGAACACCCAUUGCGAAGGCAGCUCGCUACACUAUUAUUGACGCUGAGGCACGAAAGCGUGGGGAUCAAACAGGAUUAGAUACCCUAGUAGUCC